GGCGGCGUAGCUCAGUUGGCUAGAGCAAACGGUUCAUACCCGUUGUGUCGAGUGUUCGAAUCACUCCGCCGCCA
rnacentral:tRNA from 1 species